GCUCUAGAAUAAGACAAAGCAUAAUAUAAGCGAAAAUAUAAGUUAGCUCAUAAAUCAAUCAGUGGAAGUUUACUUUGAUAUUUCAUAUAAAGUGAAAAUUUAUCACUAAAUAUUAAAUAUUAAUAUAUAAGUAAAUUUUGUAUUCAAUAUUUAAUCAGAACCCUAUAGGAUCUUUCAUUAUUAUACAGGUAUCAAAACUAGUAGAAGAUAGUCCAGGUUCAACUUCUGGCCAGAGAAAUACUUUCUAUGAUAUUAUCGUUUUGCAGUCGAAAAGUGGAAGAUUCGUUUGUAGAAAUUCCUUUUUUUACGACUCGAUAUUUUCCAUCUGCCUCAUAUUCCUCCAACUCGUCUGAAUCGGAAUCUAUGUCGAGAUCGAUGUAUCGGCUGCCGCGCGAAACUUUACACACCAUCUGUGCGAGAUCGGUGAAAGUGUACGAGGAGACUGUCUGUUGAUUCGCCGCUUGAUUCUUCGCUCGCAUAGCUCUCGCAUUCUCUCGAUCCGCGUUGAAUCGAGGCAGAACUCCGGCUUUCGACUGACCCUCGAAAUACGUUUUGCCUGGUGAACACAAUUGAAAUCAAUUACAUGGGUCUCUGUUCUUCAAGUCAACAUGACAAGUAGAUGUGGAGUCUCACCGUGUUGAUAUCCCACAUCCUUGAUUUCGUCGAAGUUGGCGAACUGGAGGGUCUUGUACUUAUCGAUCGGCGGCCUGAUAUACUCGCAGUAGUCUGAGCUUUUCACUUCUUCCAGCUGACGAACGCAGCUCACGUACGCCAGUCUGGAUUGAAUAUCCGGCAAAUUCGGUACCUUCACCGGCGUAGCGAACGGAUUCCACCGUUUCCACAGCAGCCACCAACCAGACAAUGAGUCCCCAUAAUUCGUCAGAUCAGUGUCAUCUUGUGAACCGACGUCGAUGGCCAAAAUGUGAUGUGCUCCUUGCCGUAACAUUUCGUCAGCUUGAACGGGAACAGGAGGAAUGCAUGAAUCGAGAAUGUCGGCUCGUAGAAACUAUGUUCAAGCCUCAAUACGCGUAAAGGGUAUUCUAAAAAAAAAAUGUAAAACUGUGACGCAGCUUGCGCGUAUCACAAUCGUACGUUACAUUUACUUUUCUAGCGCUGAUGUAGACGACAGUAUCGGAAGCUACGUUUCGAUGCUUUUAUGAUGAGCCAGAAACUUGAUAUAUUAUUGACUAUGCUAUCGCGAUAUAAUACUGCGAUAUAAAGAUAUUUCAGACGGUAAUGAGCCAUAGUGAGAAAUUACAAUUAACAUUAACGGAUAAACAAUAGGGAAAGCGAAUACCUGGCACGUUAUUAACAUAACACCCGUCGACCAAAAGAUGCCCGUCAAUGGGGUCGCAAAUGGGAGGAAAGACUCCCGCGAUAGUCAUACUGCCGCGAAUGUAUCUCCAUAGUAAACCUGAGCCGACUUAGUUAUUCAGAAUUCGAUAAAUUCAUCUUUCACCAAACGGGAGUGAGCUUGACACUUCUCGCGAUUUCGUACAACAAAGUGGACCGAUCAAUGAGGCGUGCAACAUGUUAGUGUAGCGCUAAUGUUCGAGAACAAUCCACGUCGUGCCAGUAUAAAUAUGAAACGUGUACAGGGCCCAAUUAAAACCAGGUAUCCAGCGUAAUUAAAUAAAAAAAAACGAAGCACACUGGGUGUCACAAAACGAGAAGAGUCGCGUUCGAUGUAACUUUUUAUAUAUUGCCCAACUGAAUUAUAUUAAACGAAUUUUUGUAGCAUAUAAAAUUGUGAUAAUUCUGUGUAUUAGUUUUCGUAUAAUAUUGUUAAAAUAUAAGUCUUCUCCAGUGACGACUUCUACAUUUA